UGCAGUCGAGCGGCAGCGCGGGGGCAACCCUGGCGGCGAGCGGCGAACGGGUGAGUAAUACAUCGGAACGUGUCCUCUCGGGGGGAUAACCAGUCGAAAGACUGGCUAAUACCGCAUGAGCUCGAGAGAGGAAAGCGGGGGACCGCAAGGCCUCGCGCGAGAGGAGCGGCCGAUGUCCGAUUAGCUAGUUGGUGGGGUAACGGCUCACCAAGGCGACGAUCGGUAGCUGGUCUGAGAGGACGACCAGCCACACUGGGACUGAAACACGGCCCAACUCCUACGGGAGGCGUGGGGAAUUUUGGACAAUGGGCGCAAGCCUGAUCCAGCCAUGCCGCGUGUGUGAAGAAGGCCUUCGGGUUGUAAAGCACUUUCGGACGGAACGAAUCGCGCGGGUUAACAGCUCGCGUGGAUGACGGUACCGUAAGAAGAAGCACCGGCUAACUACGUGCCAGCACCGCGGUAAUACGUAGGGUGCGAGCGUUAAUCGGAAUUACUGGGCGUAAAGUGUGCGCAGCGGCCUCGCGUCAAGUGUGAGAUCCCCGAGCUUAACUUGGAAUUGCGCUUGAACUACGGGGCUCGAGUGUGGCAGAGGGAGGUGGAAUUCCACGUGUAGCGGUGAAAUGCGUAAGAUGUGGAGGAACACCGAUGGCGAAGCAGCCUCCUGGGCCAACACUGACCUCAUGCGAAAGCGUGGGGAGCAAACGAUUAAUACCCUG
rnacentral:rRNA from 1 species